GUAGGGAAUAUUGCACAAUGGAGGAAACUCUGAUGCAGCGACGCCGCGUGAGUGAUGAAGGCCUUCGGGUCGUAAAACUCUGUGAUAAGGGAAGAUGAUGACGGUACCUUAUCAGAAAAGACCGGCUAACUUCGUGCCAGCAGCCGCGGUAAUACGAGGGGUCUAAGCGUUGUUCGGAAUCACUGGGCGUAAAGCGGGUGUAGGUGGCUAUGCAAGUUGGAUGUGAAAGCCCCGGGCUCAACCCGGGAAGUGCAUCCAAAACUACGUAGCUUGAGUGCGGGAGAGAAAGGCAGAAUUCCUGGUGUAGUGGUGAAAUACGUAGAUAUCAGGAGGAACUCCGGUGGCGAAGGCGGCCUUUUGGCCCAGCACUGACACUCAGACCCGAAAGCGUGGGUAGCAAACAGGAUUAGAUACCCUAGUAGUCC
rnacentral:rRNA from 1 species